CCUACGGGGGGCAGCAGUGAGGAAUAUUGGUCAAUGGACGCAAGUCUGAACCAGCCAUGCCGCGUGCAGGAAGACGGCUCUAUGAGUUGUAAACUGCUUUUGUACGAGGGUAAACGCCGAUACGUGUAUCUGUUUGAAAGUAUCGUACGAAUAAGGAUCGGCUAACUCCGUGCCAGCAGCCGCGGUAAUACGGAGGAUUCAAGCGUUAUCCGGAUUUAUUGGGUUUAAAGGGUGCGUAGGCGGUCGGAUAAGUUAGAGGUGAAAUCCCGAGGCUCAACUUCGGAAUUGCCUCUGAUACUGUUCGGCUAGAGUGUAGUUGCGGUAGGCGGAAUGUAUGGUGUAGCGGUGAAAUGCAUAGAGAUCAUAUAGAACACCGAUUGCGAAGGCAGCUUACCAAGCUACGACUGACGUUGAGGCACGAAAGCGUGGGGAGCAAACAGGAUUAGAUACCCUGGUAGUC
rnacentral:rRNA from 1 species